GGAGGAGGCAAUGGAGCUGUAGAUGAGGUCAGUGAAUCGAACGGCGGUGGGGAUGAAGUCACCGUCAAUAUCAGAUGUUCCAAUGGAUCAAAGUUUUCGGUUGGGAUAAGCCUAUCCUCGACGGUUGAAGCGUUUAAGGCCGUACUUGCGGGGAAGUGCGAUGUGCCGGCCGAUCAACAGCGGCUGAUUUACAAGGGUCG
rnacentral:misc_RNA from 1 species